CAGUCGCCGCGGGAAUACGUAGGAUGCGAGCGUUAAUCGGAAUUACUGGGCGUAAAGCGUGCGCAGGCGGUUUUGUAAGACAGGCGUGAAAUCCCCGGGCUCAACCUGGGAAUGGCGCUUGUGACUGCAAAGCUAGAGUGCGGCAGAGGGGGAUGGAAUUCCGCGUGUAGCAGUGAAAUGCGUAGAUAUGCGGAGGAACACCGAUGGCGAAGGCAAUCCCCUGGGCCUGCACUGACGCUCAUGCACGAAAGCGUGGGGAGCAAACAGGAUUAGAUACCCGCGUAGUCCCUGUCUCUUAUAC
rnacentral:rRNA from 1 species